rnacentral:rRNA from 1 species
UUAAAUUGAAGAGUUUGAUCAUGGCUCAGAUUGAACGCUGGCGGCAGGCCUAACACAUGCAAGUCGAACGGUAACAGGAAGAAGCUUGCUUCUUUGCUGACGAGUGGCGGACGGGUGAGUAAUGUCUGGGAAACUGCCUGAUGGAGGGGGAUAACUACUGGAAACGGUAGCUAAUACCGCAUAACGUCGCAAGACCAAAG